rnacentral:rRNA from 1 species
GAUGAACGCUAGCUACAGGCUUAACACAUGCAAGUCGAGGGGUAACGAGAGGAAAGCUUGCUUUCCUUGUCGACGACCGGCGCACGGGUGAGUAACGCGUAUCCAACCUGCCCCCAACUAAGGAAUAACCCUGCGAAAGUAAGACUAAUACCUUAUAAUUUCCUCAGAUGACAUCUGACGAGGAAUAAAGAUUUAUCGGUUGUGGAUGGGGAUGCGUCUGAUUAGCUUGUUGGCGGGGUAACGGCCCACCAAGGCAACGAUCAGUAGGGGUUCUGAGAGGAAGGUCCCCCACAUUGGAACUGAGACACGGUCCAAACUCCUACGGGAGGCAGCAGUGAGGAAUAUUGGUCAAUGGGCGGAAGCCUGAACCAGCCAAGUAGCGUGCAGGAUGACGGCCCUAUGGGUUGUAAACUGCUUUUAUACAGGAAUAAAGUUAGCCACGUGUGGUUAUUUGUAGGUACUGUAUGAAUAAGGACCGGCUAAUUCCGUGCCAGCAGCCGCAGUAAAAC